rnacentral:rRNA from 1 species
AUACGGAGGGUGCAAGCGUUACUCGGAAUCACUGGGCGUAAAGCGCGCGCAGGCGGCUUGGUAAGUUGGAUGUGAAAGCCUACGGCUCAACCGUAGAACUGCAUCCAAAACUGCCAAGCUAGAGUGUGGGAGAGGAAGAUGGAAUUAGUUGUGUAGGGGUAAAAUCCGUAGAGAUAACUCGGAAUACCAAAAGCGAAGGCAAUCUUCUGGAACACUACUGACGCUGAGGCGCGAAAGCGUGGGGAGCAAACAGGAUUAGAAACCCUAGUAGUCC